UUACGAAAUUCGGCGCGCUUCGGCGCUGCCUUAUUCACCCACCCUUUGUCUACGUGUACCUCUAUAGCUUCCUCGGCGGGCUCGCCCGCCGCCAGGAACCCACGAAACCCCUUGCAUUAUACACGAAAACUUCUGAUAACAAACCUAAAUUAUUACAACUUUCAACAAUGGAUCUCUUGGUUCUGGCAUCGAUGAAGAACGCAGCGAAAUGCGAUAAGUAGUGUGAAUUGCAGAAUUCAGUGAAUCAUCGAAUCUUUGAACGCACAUUGCGGCCAUAGGUAUUCCUUUGGCCAUGCCUGUUCGAGCGUCAUUUACACCCUCAAGCCUAGCUUGGUGUUGGGCGUCUGUCCCGCCGAUUUCGCGCGCGGACUCGCCUCAAAGUCAUUGGCGGCGGUCGUGCCGGCUCCUCGCGCAGCACAUUUGCGCUUCUCGGAGGCCCGGCGGAUCCGCGCUCCAGCAAAGACCUUUCAUGACUUGACCUCGGAUCAGGUAGGGAUACCCGCUGAACUUAAGCAUAUCAAUAAGCGGAGGAAAAGAAACCAACAGGGAUUGCCCUAGUAACGGCGAGUGAAGCGGCAACAGCUCAAAUUUGAAAUCUGGCCCCUUUGGGGUCCGAGUU
rnacentral:rRNA from 1 species